ensembl:snoRNA
CUGCCAUGAUGGCAGUAUUUUUGGUCAAUAGCAGUUCCCCUGGUCAGUGCCGAUGCUCUGGGUCUGAGGGA